GACGAACGCUGGCGGCGUGCUUAACACAUGCAAGUCGAACGUGAUUUUUGUGGAAAUUCUUUCGGGAAUGGAAAUGAAAUGAAAGUGGCGAACGGGUGAGUAACACGUGAGCAACCUACCUUACACAGGGGGAUAGCCGUUGGAAACGACGAUUAAUACCGCAUGAGACCACAGAAUCGCAUGAUAUAGGGGUCAAAGAUUUAUCGGUGUAAGAAGGGCUCGCGUCUGAUUAGCUAGUUGGAAGGGUAAAGGCCUACCAAGGCGACGAUCAGUAGCCGGUCUGAGAGGAUGAACGGCCACAUUGGAACUGAGACACGGUCCAAACUCCUACGGGAGGCAGCAGUGGGGAAUAUUGCACAAUGGGCGAAAGCCUGAUGCAGCAACGCCGCGUGAACGAUGAAGGUCUUCGGAUCGUAAAGUUCUGUUGCAGGGGAAGAUAAUGACGGUACCCUGUGAGGAAGCCCCGGCUAACUACGUGCCAGCAGCCGCGGUAAUACGUAGGGGGCUAGCGUUAUCCGGAUUUACUGGGCGUAAAGGGUGCGUAGGUGGUCCUUCAAGUCGGUGGUUAAAGGCUACGGCUCAACCGUAGUAAGCCGCCGAAACUGGAGGACUUGAGUGCAGGAGAGGAAAGUGGAAUUCCCAGUGUAGCGGUGAAAUGCGUAGAUAUUGGGAGGAACACCAGUAGCGAAGGCGGCUUUCUGGACUGCAACUGACACUGAGGCACGAAAGCGUGGGUAGCAAACAGG
rnacentral:rRNA from 1 species